rnacentral:lncRNA from 1 species
AAAUAGUGAAAGACAGAGCAAUCUGACAUUUUAAUCACUGUUAUUGCUCUAGUCACAUUUCAAUGUUUUGCUGAAGAGGAGAAACUGGAAAGAAUGAGAGCUGGGUCAACUGUUGCUGUGUGGCAUGGUCUACAGAGAACUGAUGGCACAUUUCUUAUGCCUGAAGCCUGUCAAAGCAGAGCGAGAACUUCAGCCAUAGCCUCACACCAGGCAGUCCCAGUAGCAGUAGGGGCGCUGAAACUGCCAAGGAUAUUAAAUGCUCAGAAGCUGUGAUUGGCAUUUUGAAGGAGCACAGUUUCAAAAAUACUGAAAAGUACUUGCAAAAGUGUCCUAAUCACUUUUAAGCUUAAGUCUCAUCUAAACAAUUUUUACUACUUUUUGAAAAGAAAAAUUUCUUAUAUUAGUGUCUUAGUAAGAUUUCCUAAAAGGUCCCAUUCCAGCACAUGCAUAGUUAUAUUUAACUUCCUGAAUACUUGGUUAAUCUUAAUUCAUAUUGACACUGACUCUUGCAUGUCAAGCCUUAAUGUUUUCAGGAUCCAGAGCUCCUUUUGGAAUUUGUAGAAUAAGUAUAAAUGAAAGAAGAAGGAGAAGGAUGAAAAUUACAGUACUAACUUGCUUAAAGGUAUUUAGUCCAACAUGAACAUUUUUAUCUUGUCACAGUUUCCAAUAUUUCAUUUUUGUUUACAUCUUCAAUCAAAGCUUAAAUCAAAAUAUCAGACUAGUCUUAUCUGUACUGAUUUGUUUUGAAAUGUUUCACUUAGAUAUUUCGUGGUUGAAAAUAAAAAUUACAAAAUUAAAAACA